AUGUGGGUCUGUCCGGCUGUCACUACGGCUGGAGUUGCAGCGCCGGUACACGGAGAUCAACAGGAAGGUGGCCAUCGCCAGGACCCUCUUGAGCCUCAUGCAGGAGGACAUGUACGUACUAACAUAAACAAGAUGACAGAUAAGUUCUUUGCUCUUCAGCUCAAAGUGACGGAGGUGAAUGCGUUGUUCACCAUGAAGCAGAAUCACUCCUCCAAAGACCUGUUAGGACAGCAAGGACAAGUGCACGAUGGUGCGCCGAAGCAUCACGGUGAACAUGGUAAUGUCAGGUUGUUGAUGGAGCGAUACAAAUUGGUAAUCGAUUUUAUUGAGAGUUAG
rnacentral:rRNA from 1 species